CGCCAUUGUACGUAUUUUGAUGUAAGAAAUUAAAUACAUCUCUGAAUCACUAAUCAGUGUACAUUGGUGAAUUUCAGCAUAGACACUUUGUUAACGGUAGCGUGUCUCUGAUGUUCAGAAUGGCCUGUUCCAUCACCGCCCAUGAAGAAGAUUAACACUGAAGAAUUUUGUAAGGGGUAGAUGAAAAGAAACAACACAAUUUCCGAAUCCGGUGCGCUUUAAGCUUCUACUAAAUAAAACUGAUGUAAGGUGAUUGGCGGGCCUUUUUGUCAUCAACUUUAUUGAGAGCGAAACUCAAAACGAUGCGUUGAAAAAAGAAUCCAUUGGCAUUGUACAAGUAACUGGUGAAUAUGACAGUUCAGAAAUUGAGAGAGGUCACUCAUUUAUAAGGGGGAACAGCUACAUUUACAAGUACCUAGACUAAUAACGGAAAAUACCUUCUGUGGGAUUUUUAUUUGCGAUGAUAACAUGUAAAAUAAACUG